UCGAGAUACAUGUUGACGGGUCAUAAACAUUAUACCGACUGUAUGAAUACAAGUGAUCAAAUUGCAUUAAACCAUUCAGUCAAUGCCAAUCAUCCCAGAGACAAGAAAUUAGAACAGUUGAUUAAACUGUCUGAGAUCUCACUAUGGUACUCUCACGAUAUUUCCAAAACGUCUAUCCUUCGUUUAUUUACGGAUUCCUUAUUCUUACAAGUUUGAUCUCAGUAUAUCCAGUGACCAAUACUGGUGAUUUUUUGGAAACGCGCAAUUCGACUCAACCAAAUCAUAUAAAUAACUCAAGGAAUUCAUCUGGUUUAUGCAAUCAAAGUGCUCCCAUGAAGAGUUUUUCACUUGGCUAUGAAACAUUAAUAACAACGAUGGUGGUCUCCACAAUUGGUGUCCUAACAAAUGGUCUUCUUGUUGUUCUUAUUCUUGUAGAUCCGCUUAACAUACUAAAACAAGGAAGGAGGAUUACAAUCUUAAGCUUAUGCAUAGCUGAUUUUACUGCAUCUUUGUCACAAUUCAUGAUUGUUGGACUGGGUAGAUUGUUCGAGGUCAAACCAUCAGAAGCUGCCAUUUAUUCUGUCCUUUUCUUUUGGAUGUUUGGGGCUGCGGGCUCAUUUUUUCACUUGACAUCACUCACAUGGCAAACUUACAUGAUUGCAAAGUAUCCCAAAUACAGACAACAAAUGUUAUCUACGAA